UACGAAGGGGGCUAGCGUUGUUCGGAUUUACUGGGCGUAAAGCGCACGUAGGCGGAUCUUUAAGUCAGAGGUGAAAUCCCAAGGCUCAACCUUGGAACUGCCUUUGAUACUGGGGAUCUCGAGUUCGGGAGAGGUGAGUGGAACUGCGAGUGUAGAGGUGAAAUUCGUAGAGUAUUCGCAAGAACACCAGUGGCGAAGGCGGCUCACUGGCCCGAUACUGACGCUGAGGUGCGAAAGCGUGGGGAGCAAACAGG
rnacentral:rRNA from 1 species